rnacentral:lncRNA from 1 species
GCGGGAAGCCUGCUUCUCCCUUUCUCACUCCCCCUGCUUGUGUUCCCUCUCUUGCUAUGUCUAAAUAAGUAAAUAAAAUCUUAAAAAAAAAAAAAGUCAAAGCUGUGAUUGUUUAAAAAAAUGUGGCUUAAAGGCAACUUAAGGGGGAGAUCCACCAUCUCAAUACCUUGUCAUGAUUAUUUAAUUUUUAAGUAUGUGCAACUCGUUACCUUUGCACAUUCUAUAGUUAUUUGCCGGCUUCUAGGGAGCAGGGACAGGUUUGUUCCUGCCGUAGACACUGGACAUCAUUAGGAUGUUUGGAGUUCAAGGAAAUGUCUGAAGGGAUCCCCGGAGGCCAGCACAGCCAGACUGAGGGCACGGGCUGGGACGUGAGGUUUUGCAUCCUCUCAUGUCUUCUGCUCCAUUGAACGUCUCCUCCUGGGUCCCCUCACCGUGAUGUGUUCAGAUCUUUUCAGCUCAGUGAGGACACGGCAACUUAUUAAGAGCUGACUUGAUCAAUUCAGUGAAUUUGGCUUCAGCCGUGUGCGAGGAACAGAAAACUAGUCUCAAGCGGGCUAAAUCGCUGAGGUGUUUAUUAGGUCAUGUCACUGAGAAGUCACAGUUAGGUCAGGCUUCAGGUCAGGCUGGAGCCAGUGGUUCACUGAUACCAUCAUUUUGUCUCAAACUCUCUCUUCGCUGUUUUUGUUAGGACUGUUUUAGCCCAAGAUUGGCCUCCAAGUGUGGUCCUAAGAGCUGCCAGCAGCUUCUAGGGGCUCCUUGCCUCCUUGCUCACGUCCUGCCGGAGGAGACAGUACAACUCUCCGUGGUCGUCCCUUAGAGGCCUUCGAGAAGCAGUUCUCCAUCUCAUUGGCUUGGAUGGGAUCUCAGCCUCUGCCGUCAUCCCUGAACGGACCCUAGGGGCCAUGAGAGAUGGCGUACGCCAGUGCACGUCCAGAAGUCACUCCCGAGUUGGCCUGGAGCUGAGCACGAAGCAAAAGACCACCACUUUCAGCACAUCGGCCAGCGAGAAGUCCUUAUCUGACUGCAGAAAGGUAAGUCAGCCUCCAAAAUUUCCAGCUUGCUGUCACAGUACUAAGUGGCUUCAGACUUGAUGACAUUCCACUGAAAGGCUGUGGGGUCA